AUCUAGCUAACGAGUCCCGAAAUAGGACGAGACGCGCGUCAAACUGUAU
rfam:Schistosoma haematobium scaffold214_5, whole genome shotgun sequence.